AUGCCAAUAUUCUACUUCAGUACGUGUUACAAGACUAGACGGAUUCGCUUCAAUCAACUGACAAUAUUCACGCCAAUCUAGGGACACACAAAACAGUCAAAGAAAUGCAUAAUCAAAAUCGUUUUCCUUUCAUCGAUAAUUGCAAUUGCCAGCCACACGACUUAAUUGGAUUUAGGGGCUCGAUUUUUUAAAAUCAUUUCGAUCGAUAUCUUAAUAGAAGUAUUUGCUAAUUAGAAUGUCGUCUGCUUUCUUUUGUUUUAACUUUCGAAAAAGAAAUUAAGACACGAAAGUUUAAGAUUACAAAUAAAUGAAACCAUCACUUUUUUGGAAACGUACAUGUGGCUGCACGAAAAAAAGCACAACGAAUAAAAUGACAUAUAUACGUGGUCGUCGUCGUGCCAACUCUGGUCGCGUUUCUUUACAGAAUCGCUCAAUGCACACUCAUCAUGCCCAUGCUGUUUAGCAGAGUUGAGACCAGAGCCAGCCAUAAUAACCUCAAGAUAUCCAAGUUUUGCUUGUGCUGAACCUGUCACCAUCAACAGCAGUCUCAGUUUCAACACUUGAUAAACAGCAUCCCUCUUGAUUGGAGAAACUUGCCAAACGUGGUCUCUUUUUCCACUUUCUUUAAAUGUGUACGCCCAUGUGAAUGUGGGUGUAUUCACAAGGACGCCCCUUUUGGCCUAUCCCGCCUGGUGGAUUCAACUCUUCAGCUGGAGCUACUGUGGAUGCCUAGCUGUAUUUC